rnacentral:ncRNA from 2 species
AAAAUAUCAAGAGCGCAGCGAGAGACCUAGCUUUAUGACCUGCCGGCAACCAGCAUGAAGAUGCCAGGUGCUCCUUCUAGCCCGUAACGGGAGAGAUGAAAA